rnacentral:rRNA from 1 species
UCGAGAAUAUUCCACAAUGGGCGAAAGCCUGAUGGAGCGACGCCGCGUGCGGGAAGAAGGCCUUCGGGUUGUAAACCGCUUUUAAUUGAGAAAAAGCUUCGGUUGAUUGUAUCAAUUGAAUAAGGGGUUGCUAACUCUGUGCCAGCAGCAGCGGUAAUACAGAGACCCCGAGCGUUAUCCGAAUUUAUUGGGCGUAAAGCGCGAGUAGGGUGCUUUUCAAGUCUAACGUUAAAUCUCAGGGCCUAACCUUGAAACCGCGUUGGAUACUGGAAAGCUAGAGGACGUAAGAGGCAGAUGGAACAGCCGGUGUAGGGGUGAAAUCCGUUGAUAUCGGCUGGAACACCAAAGGCGAAGGCAUUCUGCUGGGACGUUCCUGACCCUGAGUCGCGAAAGCGUGGGU